UCCAAUAUUUCUAUCUUAUUAGCACUAAUUUUGUAAAUAUUAGACUCAAAUCUUCAAGAAUCUAAUACGAUGGCUUAAUAAAUAUUAGUUCUUUCAAAAUCCAAUUUGUAGCAACCAAUCUAUCCACUCAGUUCGGUAGCAACGAAGUUAUCAAUCACAUUUUUCAACAAAGCUUCGUCAAUAUCUUUCCCUCAUUUUCUUUAUCAAUUACAACAUUUUUGACUUUAUUAUUUAAAGCAUUGAAAACCAUGUCUUGUUGCAAUAGUGAAGCAUUUCAACCUAAGAAUUUUAAUCCACAUUACACCAUAACACAACCACAAGAUUUUCAAAUUCAACUUUGGUAAUCUUUGAAAUAGCCUUUGCAAGUCUGCAACUUCUUAUCCAAAUCAAAUUAAUGUAAAAAUUAAGAAGAAUUAACCAAACUAAAUGAAACUAAUCAAAGCCUAAAAACAAAAAUUUUCAAACCCUAAAAUCACUAAGCUUAAUUUGACGGUGGUGGUGGUAGACGGAUUCACAAAUAACAAUGGGGUUUCUAUGUUGACCGCAUUUGUUGUGAUACCUUGCCAUCAUGUGGCUUUAGAGCGCAGCCAUGAGUUACUACCACUACUACUUUAGCUCCAUGACUCGCAGAUACUAUAAUGCUAUGGACAUGGAGAAGACGAAGCUUGGAUAAGACGAAGAAAGGAGAAAAAAAAGGAAAAAAAGAAAAAGAACCAGCAGAAGAUAAAGAAAGAAGGAGAGAAAGGGAAAAACAAACAAAAAAAAAGAAAAAUGUAAAUAAAUAAAAUAAAUCUAUUUUUCCAAUUGUACCUUUGUGUCAUUAGAGUUAAUGGCAAAAGUUGACGGUUUGUCACUGUAGGAGUAUUUUCGAAACAAUUGUCACUUAUGUGAUAAAUGUCGAAACAGAAAUUCUAGUUAUGCAACCCAAGAUAGGGGGGGUGAAUUGAGAUUCUAAAAAUUAUUCAAUUCUAAAAUAAAAUAUCAUGCAAAUCUAAAACAAAUUUAAAGCAAUAACAAUUAAAUCAGUCACAAUAUAAAAAGAUAAGGGAAGAGAGAUUCAAACACGAAGAUUUUUACGUGGUUCGGCCAACCUCGCCUACGUCCACGCCUCCAAGGUUUCCGGGCUUGAGGAUUUCACUAAGCAAGCCUCCAAGGCUUCAAAUGCUUACACUUGACUUCCAAGGUGUCAAUGAACCUUUAUAACAAGAGAUUAUCCUAAAUCUCUUAACCCAAGUGUAUCCCAACACUUACAAUCACUCAAAGUAAAAGAUUACAAAUUGUUUUUCUCUCACACAAUAUUUAAGAUUACAAAUCAAUGCCCAAAAUGUGAAUAAAUGAAGCAAGAAUGUGUUUAAAGCUCUAUGAAGAUUGUAUUCUUGAAUAUAAGCUCAAUGGUCGUGUUGUGAUCAAAUUUUGUUUGAAUUUGAAUGAGCUUAUUUAUAGUUGGAGCUGAAAACUAGCCGUUAUUGACUUUCUGCUCACUGUCAGAUUGCCGUUUGACUGCUCAAUAUGACCGUUGGGCUGAAUUUUUAAAUUGUCGGAUCGCCGUUAUCUAGAUGUCGGAUCACCGUUUAGGUCUAGAGGCUAAUCUUCAGUUCUGUUUGAUAUCGGCGGGCCGUUUAUCAGAAUUGUCAGAUCGUCGUUUAGGUCCAAAGGCUAAUCUUCAGUUCUGUUUGAUUUCGGCGAGCCGUUAUCAAGCUUGUCGAAUCGCCGUUUUCCACAUUUACUGCUGCAGUGAACUAUUUUGCAACAGAACAGUUUGUUUCCAAAUCUUUAUAAAAACAUUUUAUAAAACUUGUCAAAAUAGAUCCAUUUACAGGAUUUGAAACAAUAUUUGUUAUUAUCAAAACUCUCAAAGCUUUUUCAAUUGAAAACCAUUAACAUGAAAAUAACCAAAAAUCAUUUUCAUAGAAUAAAAGUGAGAAUGAUGAUUUAAAAAGUAUAUGAAAAUUAUUUUGAGCUUUUAAAAGAUUAAUCAAUCUAAAUCAAGUUUGUUAUCAUCAAAAUCAAUAAUAAAGAAAUAUUUAUGUUUAACAAUCUCCCCCUUUUUAAUGAUGACAAAUUGUUCAAGAAUAUAUUUGUGCAAUUUUGCUCCCCCUAAAUAUGUGCUCCCCCUGAGUAAAGAUUUUUAAGGAAUGUAACUUCCCUUAAAUAUGUGCCCAUCAAUUUUUAAUCUCAUAAAAAAUAAUUGUAAACUGAAUAGAUAAAUUAUCUCCCCCUUCAUCAUAAAAAGAAAUGAGCAUGAAAAGAUUUAAAAGCGAAGUUCAGAGAUUAAUCAUAUUGGAAAAAUUUCGGAAGAAUCUCCCCUUAAAAAUGAACAUAUCCUCAACAAUACAAAUAGUUUAAAAAAAAAAACUUCCAUAUAUAUAUAUGCCAACUUAUCAACCAACCUCCAUCCCAACAAUCAAACAUAUCAUCAGUAUAAUCAAGAACAAUUAUCAAACAUAUCAUCAAAAUCAACGCAAUCAUAAAUAAAGUCCACAUAUCCAACAAAAAAAAUCAUAAAAGCAUCACAAACACAAUAAAAAAAUAAGUGUCACAACGAACUACAUGAAAUGAGUAAUGUCUGUGCGAAAAUCAGAGGGGCAAAACACUAAGACGGGGGCUGUGAAGAAGAAUUGCCUGGGUCAUAACCAAAGUAACCAAGAAUGCGGCGCUGGCCAGCAAUUAACUCCAUUUGCUGAUCUAACAUUUACUGCCAAAAGGUCGCAAAGUCAGAUUGAAGCUGCUGGGACAGGACAUCCACUUUGUUAGAAAGUUGCUGAAAGCGAUCCGCAGGAACGGUCGAUGCUGUAGGAGGGACGACAGACUUGGCUGGCACGUCAUCCUGAGAGGAAGCUGUUGUUGAUGCUGGUGCUGGUGCUGGUGCUGAUACUGCUGGUGCUGCUCUGCGAGAGACACGUGGUCUAGCCCCAAGGCAGAAAUCGGGUAACUCAUCCUCGGAAUAGAUGUCAUUUAAUAUACGAUCAUUCGCUGGUGCAAGCAGAGUAUCUUCAUUCUUAGAGGAUAUUGUUUUUUCCCACUUUCCACGUUUCUUAAAAAAUUCGAUCACAGAAAUAAUCUCUCGACCGAGCUUACGGGUCUCGAGAUAAACAGGCUCAGUGAUAGGUACUCUAAAGAAUUUCAAGAUCCUAGUAAUGAUGCUGCCAUAGGGAAGAGAUCGGUUGGAGACUCUAGGUGUGGACCACAUAUGACAAAGGAUAGUGUAGGAUAAACUCACAUGCUGUCUAUGGAUGAUGGAAUCUAAUAAACCAACAUCAAGUCAAGUAACCUCAUUAGUGUGACCCUGUCUAGGGGUGACCAUGUGUUGGAGAAUGAUAUGAAGUAUUCGAAUUUGGAAAGUGAGGAGUUGAGACCUAAAGGACAAAGAACAGACUACGUCAUCGAAAAGUUCCUGACGCCUACAAAUGUUCCGUACACUAUCCACAUGACAGAAAUCACUAAAUUCAAGUUCUUUCCUAGCGGUGUAAAUGUUUAAGCGUCCAUAAGAAAUUCCAAGAAUACUACAUAAUUCUGAUUCAUCAAACGCAAUACGAAUUCCUCCUACGUAAGUAUAAAGUUCAACUUGACGGGAAGAGGAGAGUUCCAUAUUAGAAUAAAAGACACGGACUAGAUUUUCAUAGAUGGGCUCUUCUAUACUUAAGGCUUCACUCCAAUGGCUAAGCAAUUGAGUAAUAGUACGACCACAAAUGGUAAUAUCUGAAAACUCUGUAAUGUUAAGAGAAAAUGAGGGAGUUACCGGUUUGCCCAUGAAUUUGUCACGAAAUCGCUAAGCAGAGGUGUCAUUGGAAAAUUGGAGGCUCUUAAAGUCCUGAGAGGGAGGCUUGGAGGGACUGGAACGACGCGGAGCAGUGUGCUUGGCUCGAGCACGCCUCUAUGGUCGUUCUGCCAUUGAUGAGUUUGGAGAAUUUUGAAUUGGGAGAAAUAAAGUUUGAGUGAUGAGAGAGUAAUGACAAGUUGAAAUGUGAUUGAAAUUGGAAGAAAUUUGGCUCAAUUUUGGCGAGAGUACGGCUGGUUUCUAGGGUUGGAAAUUUGGGAUUUCUCAAAUUGUUAAUCAAAAACGAGUUUUGAUCGGUUAAAAAGGUUCUAAAGAAGAUGAGAAAGGUUUUGAAUGGUUAGAUUUGGUGAGAGAGAGUAAGAAAAAUGGUGGAUUUGAGAGAGAGAGAGCAAGAACGAAAUGAGAAAGAAGACGAAGGACUGUUCACUUAUCGCGGGAUAACGGCAAGCCGUUAUAGAUAUAUCGGUGAGCCGACAGCGUCCAGAGAGCUCCCCAAAAAUUUUCAUUAGGACAGCGAGCCGUUUAUAGAUAUAUCGGCAAGCCGACAGAGUCCAGAGAGUUUCCCCAAAAUUUUUCAUCAGGACGGCGAGCCGUUAAUGUGUUAUCGGUGAACCGAUAGCUUCCAGAAUGCUACCCAUUGUUUCUGCCCUAAAAUGGUUAGCUGUUUAUUGAAAUAACGGAAAUCCGUUUUCUACAACGUAUGAUUUCGCACAUUUAUUUUAGUAUUUGGCCAACAAUUAAUACAUUUCAAGAUCAUUUCAUUGAUCCAAAAUGAUUUAAGUGCCAAUUCAGUGCAUAAUUCAUGUACAUGUAUAUAUUUCAACAAUUUAUUUAUACAUUUUUCAAAAAUACACACACUUCACAUGUAUAUUGAGCAUUCCAUAGAUAUUAAAACAUCAAAUCAUAAAUCAAUCAAUUUUAAUAGACUCAAUAACAUGAAUUAGUAUGUUAAUGCGAAAAUUUCAUCAUCCCAAGUUCAUGCCGAAUUUUUGAAAAUUGUUCUUCGCAAAGUAGUUUUGUAAAAAUAUCAGCAAGUUGUUUUUUCGUAGAAAUAAACUCUAAUGCAAUAUCUCCCUUUUAAACAUGAUCUCUUAAAAAAUGAUGUUUUAUUUCUAUAUGCUUGGUUCGAGAGUGUUGAAUGAGAUUCUUUGAAAGAUUUAUAGCACUAGUAUUAUCACACUUAAUAAGAAUUUGUUCUAGGUUAAUACCAUAGUCUCUAAGUGAUUGUUUCAUCCAAAGAGCAUGUGCACAACAACUUUCUACAGCUAUAUAUUCAGCCUCGGUAGUUGAGAGUGCAAUAGAAUUUUGUUUCUUGCUAAACCAUGAAACAAGUGAAUGACCUAAGAUAUAGCAUGUUCUACUAGUGCUUUUCCUAUCAACUUCAUAACCAGCAAAAUCCGCAUCCGAAUAACAUGUUAAAUCUAUAUGAGUUCCCCUAGGAUACCAGCAUCCGAAUAACAUGUUAAAUCUAUAUGAGUUCCCCUAGGAUACCAGAGGCCAAUAUCUAUGGUUCCACUCAAAUAACGAAAAAUUCUUUUAACAAGCAACAAAUGAGAUGGGGUCUACUUGCAGUUAAAUAAAGUAAAGAUCCGAUCAUACCUCGAUACAUUUUGAUAUCCACUUUCUUGCCUUUUUCAUCUUUGUCAAGUUUGGUUGUUGUGCUCAUUGGAGUGUUUUUGGUCUUUGAGUCAUCAAUGCCGAAUCUUUUGAGUAGAUCUUUUACAUACUUGGCUUGAUUUAUGAAAAUUCCUUCCUCAUUUUGUUUUAUUUGCAGCCUAAGGAAGUACUUCAACUCUCCCAUCAUACUCAUUUCAAAUUCAUUACUUAUGCAAGAUGAAAAUUCUUUACACAACAAUUCAUUAGUAGAGCCAAAAAUAAUAUCAUCAACAUAAAUUUGAACAAGUAUGUCUUUGUCCUUAUAUUUGACAAAGAGAGUAGUAUUCGCUUUACCCAUUGAAAAAUCAUUUUCCAACAAGAAAUUUUUAAAUCUAUCAUACCAUGCUCUAGGUGCUUGUUUUAAGCCAUACAAAACUUUAAAUAACUUAUAGACAUGAUUUGGAAAUUUUUCAUUUUUAAAACCAGGGGAUUGUUUUACAUACACUUCUUCUAUUAUAAAAAAUUCAAAAAAGCACUUUUCACAUCCAUUUGAAAUAAAAUGAAAUCUUUAUGACAUGCAAAAGCCAACAACAUUCUAAUUGAUUCUAGUCUAGCUACGGGUGCAAAUGUUUCAUCAAAAUCAAUUCCUUUUUCUUGGUUCUAACCUUGAGCCACUAAUCUAGCUUUAUUUCUUACAACCACACCGGAUUCAUCCAUCUUAUUUCUAAAUAUCCAUUUAGUACCUAUGACGGAUUGAUGUUCCAGUUUAGGAACUAAUUCCCACACAUUGUUUCUUUCAAAUUGAUUUAACUCCUCUUGCAUUGCCAUAAUCCAAGAUUCAUCAUUUUCCGCAUUCGCAAAGGAAUUGGGUUCAAUUUGAGAAAUAAAUGCGUUAUGCUCACAAAUAUUUCUAAGUGAUGAUCUAGUUAUAACACCUCGUGAGGGAUCUCCUAAAAUUACAUCCUUAGGGUGAGAAGAAACAUACCUCCACUCCUUGGGGAGUGCUUGAGAAGUACCUUCAUGUUGCUCCAUAUUUGUUUGCUCUUCUUGUUCAUCCUCUUGAUUUCUUUGUGGUGCAUUAUGUUGUUUAUCCUUUGAUGGUUCUUCUUGUAACUCUCCAUCUGCAUCAUCAUAAUUUAUUCAUUUCUCCGCAGAGGAAGGGUUAGACUCAUCAAAUGUAACAUGCAUAGAUUCUUCUACAACUAGUGUAUUUUUGUUAUAAACUCUAUAAGCUUUGCUUGAGUUUGAAUAUCCAAGAAAAAUACCAACAUUAGAUUUUGGAUCAAAUUUGCCAAGAUUGUCUUUUGUGUUCAAAAUAAAACAUUUGCAUCCAAAAACUUUGAAAUAACCAAUAUUGGGUUUUCUAUGUUUCCAAAGCUCAUAUGGAGUUUUGUUGAGGUUAGGUCUAAUCAACACACGAUUUAAAACAUAACAAGCGGUAUUGACGGUCUCGGCCCAAAAAUACUUAGGCAAUGAAUUUUCAUUCAACAUAGUCAUAUCCAUUUCUUGAAUGGAUCUAUUCUUUCUCUCAACAACUUCAUUUUGUUGUGGAGUUCUAGGUGAUGAAAAUUGAUGCUUAAUGCCAAAAUCAUUACAAAAAAUCUCAAAUGUAUGAUUUUCAAACUCUCCUCCAUGAUCACUCCUAAUGCAUGCAAUACCAUACCCUUUUUCAUUUUGUAUUUUCUUACAAAACACUUUAAAGGCAUCAAGAGCAUCAUCCUUAUUGGCUAAGAAUAAUACCCAUUAAAAGCCUUAUAUAUUCUUUUUUUUNNNNNNNNNNNNNNNNNNNNNNNNNNNNNNNNNNNNNNNNNNNNNNNNNNNNNNAUGUGAAGAAGUUGAAGUGGUUUUGAAGUAUAAAAAUGAUUUUUAUUUUUGAAAGAUGUUUUGAUUUGUUUUCCAAAUUGACAAGCUUCACAAAUCUUAUCUUUUUGAAAACCAAUUUUUGGAAGACCUUUAACUAAAUCAUUUUUCAAAAUUUUCGAAAUCAAAUCCAUACUUGCAUGUCCUAACUUUUUAUGCCAUAACCAACUAUCAUCAUGCAAUGUGGAAAAGCAUUUAUCAAGAGUAGAUGCACAUUAUAUGUCAAUGAUAUAAACAUUAUCACAUCUAUUCCCAACAAAUAAGAUUUUGCCAUCACAUGAAUUCUCAAUAACACAACUAAAUUUAUCAAAGAUAACUUUAUAACCUUUGUCACAUAAUUGACUAAUACUAAUUAAGUCGUAUUUCAAGUUCUCAACCAAACAUACAUUCUCAAUUAGAGUUAAGGAAACUUUACCAACAUUUCCAAUAACACAACAAAUAAGAUUUUGCCAUCACAUGAAUUCUCAAUAACACAACUAAAUUUAUCAAAGAUAACUUUAUAACCUUUGUCACAUAAUUGACUAAUACUAAUUAAGUCGUAUUUCAAGUUCUCAACCAAACAUACAUUCUCAAUUAGAGUUAAGGAAACUUUACCAACAUUUCCAAUUCUAAGAAUUUUUCCUUUUGAGUUGUCUCCAAAAGAUACGUCUCCACCAUUUUCAAUUUUGAUGAAUCUUGAGAACCAUGCGUAGUUUCCGGUCAUAUGCCUUGAACAACCACUGUCCAAGUACAAUUUAUUUUUCUUCUUCUUCAAGCCCUAGAAAGAAAAUCUCAAGUUUUAGGUACCCAAAGCUAUUUGGGUCCUUGAGAGUUAGUAGUGAUUCCUUUUGGAACCCAAAUGCAUUUCAUACCAUAAUAUGCAUUUCUUUUUACUGGACAUCUAUUUUUCAUAUGACCAUCUUAAUUACAAAAAUGACAUACAAUUUGAUUGUUACUAGAUGUACUCUUCACAAAGUAGUUUUUAUAAUAUUUUUGUUUCAAGUUUGGCUUAUAACCAAUACCUCCUUUGUCAAACACACAUUUUUGUGAAUUAAGCAUGUUAUCCAACAUCUUUUGCCCAUUUGUAAAUUUCAAAACAAUCUCAUUCAACUCAUUGCUCUUUUUCUUAAGCGUUUCGUUUUCAUUUUUCAAAUCAUCUAUGUGUGAUUCUAAAUGCUCAUGUGAGAUGCUAGGUGUCUCAUUUGAUAAUGCAAUUUCAUUAUGCAAUGUUUUGUUCUCUACUUCUAGGCAUGUAAUUUUUGCAUUUAGAGAUUCAUUUUCAUUUUUAAGCUUUGCCAUUUCUUUUUUAAGACAUACAUUCUUUUUACCGAUCUUCAUCAACUCAUUAUGCAAUUCUUUAAAGGCAUCAUAUAAUUCAUCAUAAGUGGGAUCACUUACCUCAUUGAGAUCAUCAUCCCCUCCUAUUGUCAUAAGUGCUAGGUUUGAUACUUCUUGCGAUCCUUUUUCAUCACUUGAAUCUUCCUCACUAUCAUCCCAAGUUGCAACCAUGGCUUUCUUCUUGAGUUUGUUGAUAAGUGGGCACUUCGAUCUUAUAUGGCCAGGCUUCCUGCAUUCAUAGCAUGUGAUUACCUUUUUCUUUUCCCUUUGGUUCUUGAAGUUUCUGAAAUUUCUUCGCUCUCUGGUUUUCUUGAAGAAUUUUCUGAACCUCCUUGCUAGCAUGACCAACUCUUCAUCAUCCGGUUCACUCUCCCCAUCACUCUCAUAUUUUGAAGCUUUGAGAGCAAUGCUUUUCUUCUUCUCCUCAUGCCAUUUUUCUGCUGCCAAAUCUUCUUCAUAUGAAAUGAGAGAACCAAUUAAAUCAUCAAGAGAUAAAGUAUUUAAAUCUUUGGCCUCUUCAAUAGCGGUUCUUUUAGGUCUCCAUUAUUUUGGAAGUGACCUAAUGAUUUUCUUAACUUUUUCGCUAUUUGAGAAGGUCUUUCCUAGGGCUUUUAGGGUGUUUACUAUGUCCGUAAAUCUCGUAUACAUAGAGUACACACUCUCAUUUUGUUCCAUUUGGAACAACUCAUACUAUCUAGUGUACCUAUUAAUUUUCGACUUUUGCACUUGAUUUGUGCCUUUAUAAACUACUUCAAGUUUGUGCCAAAUUUCAUUGGCACUUUCACAACUAGAUACUCGAUGAAAUUCUUUCUUAUCAAGUGCACAAAAUAAAGCAUUCAUAGCUUUGGAAUUUAGAGAAGCUUUUAUCUUUUCCAAUUCAUUCUAUUCCCUUAAAGGUUUUGGAAUAUCUUCCCCGAAUUCAUUUUUAGUUAGGGGCAAAAAGGGACCAUCACAUACAACUUCCCAAAUUUCAUAAUUUAGUGCUUGUAAAUAAAUUUUCAUCCUAGUUUUCCAAUAUAGGUAGUCAUUUAAGUCAAAGAACGGUGGUCUAGUUGUGGAUUGUUCUUCCCUAAAGGUUGAGUCAUUUUGGGUUGUCAUGGAUCUUUUACUCUAGACGGUUAAGUCCUAACAAGAGAACCAAACUCUGACACCAAAUGAAAUUCUAGUUAUGCAACCCAAGAGGGGCGUGAAUUGAGAUUCUAAAAAUUAUUCAAUUCUAAAACAAAAUAUCAUGCAAAUCUAAAACGAAUUUAAAGCAAUAAUAAUUAAAUCAAUCAUAAUAUAAAAAGAUAAGGGAAGAGAGAUUCAAACAUGAAGAUUUUUACGUGGUUCGGCCAAUCUUGCCUAUGUCCACGCCUCCAAGCUUUCCGAGCUUGAGGAUUUCACUAAGCAAGCCUCCAAGGCUUCAAAUGCUUACACUUGACUUCCAAGGUGUCAAUGAACUUUUACAACAAGAGAUUAUCCCCAAUCUCUUAACCCAAGCGUAUCCCAACACUUACAAUCACUCAAAGUAAAAGAUUACAAAUUGUUUUUCUCUCACACAAUAUUUAAGAUUACAAAUCAAUGCCCAAUGUGUAAAUAGAUGAAGCAAGAAUGUGUUUAAAGCUCUAUGAAGAUUGUAUUCUUGAAUAUAAGCUCAAUGGUCGUGUUGUGAUCAAAUUUUGUUUGAAUUUAAAUGAGCUUAUUUAUAGUUGGAGCUGAAAACUAGCCGUUAUUGACUUUCUGCUCACUGUCAGAUCGCUGUUAACUAGAUGUCGGAUCGCUGUUUGACUGGUCAAUAUGACCGUUGGGCUGAAUUUUCAAAUUGUCGAAUCUCCGUUAUCUAGAUGUCGGAUCACCGUUUAGGUCCAGAGGCUAAUCUUCAGUUCUGUUUAAUAUCGGCGAGCCGUUUAUCAGAAUUGUCGGAUCGUCGUUUAGGUCCAGAGGCUAAUCUUCAAUUCUGUUCGAUUUCGGCGAGCCGUUAUCAAGCUUGUCGAAUCGCCAUUUUCCACAUUUACUACUGCAGUGAACAUUUUGCAAUAGAACAAUUUGUUUCCAAAUCUUUAUAAAAUCAUUUUAUAAAACUUGUCAAAAUAGAUCCAUUUACAGGAUUUGAAACAAUAUUUGUUAUUAUCAAAAUUCUCAAAGCUUUUUCAAUUGAAAACCAUUAACAUGAAAAUAACCAAAAAUCAUUUUCAUAGAAUAAAAGUGAGAAUGAUGAUUUAAAAAGUAUAUGAAAAUUAUUUUGAGCUUUUAAAAGAUUAAUCAAUUGAAAUCAAGUUUGUUAUCAUCAAAAUCAAUAAUAAAGAAAUAUUUAUGUUUAACAGAAACAUGUGUCACCCAAGUGACAUUAACUCUUUAUUGUUUUUGUUAUUUAUAUCAAUUGUUCUCGUUUUACCCUUUCAUUGUUACAAUUAAGGGCAAAAGUUAACAAAUUGUCAGAUGUCUGCCUAUUUUUAAAAAGUGUAGCACCUUUUUUAUAUUUGUUAAAAUGUGUGUCAUCCAAGUGAUAUAUAUAUAUAUAUAUAUGUGUGUGUGUGUGUGUGUGUGUGUGUGUGUGUGUGUGUGUGUGUGUGUGUGUGUGUAUGCAUGCAUGUAUGUAUAUGAGACAAGAUUAUUCCAUAUAGAUGUCAAAUCCAAAAAGAAGUACAAAAUUGAAUUUUAUUUAAAUGUUAUAAAAUUAAGUUCUUGUUUGUUGAUCAAUCUACUAUAAUAAAAAGGGCUAAUAUAUGUAAUGUUUUUCCCUUAAAA
rnacentral:lncRNA from 1 species